rnacentral:rRNA from 1 species
GACGAACGCUGGCGGCGUGCUUAACACAUGCAAGUCGAACGGAAAGGCCCUGCUUUUGUUGGUUGCUCGUGUGGCGCACGGGUGUGUAACACAUGAGUAUCCCGCACUUGUCUUUGGGGUAUCUUUAGGAGACUGCGGCUCUUACCGCGUAUGAGAUCUUGCUGCAUGGUGUGCGAUGGUGAGUUUCGGCGGUUGGGGCUGGCCUCGCUGCAUAUCAGCUUGUUGGGGUGGUAGUGGCUUACAAGGGCUUUGACGGGUAGCCGGCCUGGGAGGGUGACCGGCCACAAGGGGACUGCGAGACGGACCAGAAUCCUACGGGAGGCAGCAGUGGAGAACAUUGCACAAUGGGCGGAAGCCUGAUGCAGCAACGCCGCGUGCGGGAUGAAGGCCUUCGGGUUGUAAACCGCUUUCGCCGGUGACGAAGCGUGAGUGACGGUAAUGGGUAAAGAAGCACCGGCUAACUACGUG